rnacentral:lncRNA from 1 species
GAUCCUGAGCUUCUUCGGUCCUUCAAGUAGACGAGGAAAAGUCAACCAGCUGGGCGCACCCCACGAGCUGGCCAUCCAGAGCGGACACUCCUGCAGCCCAGAUUUGCCCAAGGGCUGGGAGACAGAUUCCACCCCCGAAGGAGCUGUGUACUUCAUCAGUGCUAGUGAUGAAAGCACGCCUCAUGCACCUCAUGCGUGUUAGAUAAGUGGUCUACCACUGAGCUACAUCUUCUGAACUGCUAUUUCCCCGGGGAGAUUGACUUAUGAGUCCUAUUGAUCCAGCCUGAGUCGGGAAGAGUCAUCCAAAGGUCCCACUGGCUGGACAGCCAGGCCAGCUCCUCAUGUGCCUGGAAAGUGCUGCCGGCUGUCAUCCAGGAGCUGAACUGCACCUGUCAUUUUGACACCCACAGGUGGCCCCUCCGCCCUGGUUUGGUCUUCAGCCAGGCAGGUAGUUCAGAGCCAGAGAAACUCAAGAGACACCAUUCUGGGCAGGGAGAGAGCUCAGUGGUAGAGCCCUAGCACGCCAAGCCCAGGGCUCCAUCCCCAGCAAAACAUCCCAGGACACUCAAAUAGAAACU